CCUACGGGAGGCAGCAGUGAGGAAUAUUGGUCAAUGGUCGGGAGACUGAACCAGCCAAGCCGCGUGAGGGAUGAAGGUACAGAGUAUCGUAAACCUCUUUUGUCAGGGAACAAAGGCGGGGACGCGUCCCCGGAUGAGUGUACCUGAAGAAAAAGCAUCGGCUAACUCCGUGCCAGCAGCCGCGGUAAUACGGAGGAUGCGAGCGUUAUCCGGAUUUGUUGGGUUUAAGGGGUGCGCAGGCGGUCUGUUAAGUCAGCGGUCAAAGCCCGGGGCUCAACCCCGGCCCGCCGUUGAAACUGGCAGUCUCGAGUUGGAGAGAAGUAUGCGGAAUGCUCGGUGUAGCGGUGCAAUGCAUAGAUAUCGCGCAGAACUCCGAUUGCGAAGGCAGCAUGCCGGCUCCACACUGACGCUGAGGCACGAAAGCGUGGGUAUCGAACAGGAUUAGAUACCCGAGUAGUC
rnacentral:rRNA from 1 species